rnacentral:rRNA from 1 species
GGCAGCAGUGGGGCCUUUUGGGGGACGGCGGUGGGGGUUAUUCGCCAAUGGGGGAAACCCGAAGAAAGCCUUCCGGUUGGGGUGAGGAAGCCUUUCGGGUGGUAUAGCCCUGUCCAAUAGGAGAAAACAAUUGACGGUACGGGGGGAGGAAGCCCCGGCUAAUUACGUGCCAGCAGCCGCGGUAUUACGUAGGGGGCGAGCGUUGUCCGGAUUUAUUGGGGGUAAAGGGGGGCUGGGGGGCCCAUUAAUUCAGGGGGGAAUGCUCCUGGUUCACCCGGGGGAUGCCCCUUGAAAUUGGGGGCUUGAAUGCCGGAGAGGGGAAUGGAAUUUCCCGUGUAGCCGUGAAAUGGGUAGAAAAUCGGGGGAACCCCCAUGGGGAAGGCGGCCCCCCUGGCCGGCAAUUGCCGUUGGGGCACGAAAGCUUGGGGAGCAAACAGGAUUAGAUACCCUGGUAGUCCCCCCCAAAACGAUUUUCUUAGGUUGGGGGGCGUAAAUCCUUCAGUGCCGUAGUUAACGC